rnacentral:piRNA from 1 species
UGCCACACGACAGCUCUCACCUCUCUA